rnacentral:rRNA from 1 species
UUGAUCCCUGGCUCAGAACGAACGCUGGCGGCAGGCUUAACACAUGCAAGUCGAACGCCCCGCAAGGGGAGUGGCAGACGGGUGAGUAACGCGUGGGAAUCUACCCAAUUCUUCGGAACAACUGAGGGAAACUUCAGCUAAUACCGGAUGUGCCCUUCGGGGGAAAGAUUUAUCGGAAUUGGAUGAGCCCGCGUUGGAUUAGCUAGUUGGUGGGGUAAAGGCCUACCAAGGCGACGAUCCAUAGCUGGUCUGAGAGGAUGAUCAGCCACACUGGGACUGAGACACGGCCCAGACUCCUACGGGAGGCAGCAGUGGGGAAUAUUGGACAAUGGGCGCAAGCCUGAUCCAGCCAUGCCGCGUGUGUGAUGAAGGUCUUAGGAUUGUAAAGCACUUUCACCGGAGAAGAUAAUGACGGUAUCCGGAGAAGAAGCCCCGGCUA